AGUGAACGCUGGCGGUAGGCCUAACACAUGCAAGUCGAACGGCAGCACAGAGGAGCUUGCUCCUUGGGUGGCGAGUGGCGGACGGGUGAGGAAUACAUCGGAAUCUACUCUGUCGUGGGGGAUAACGUAGGGAAACUUACGCUAAUACCGCAUACGACCUACGGGUGAAAGCAGGGGAUCUUCGGACCUUGCGCGAUUGAAUGAGCCGAUGUCGGAUUAGCUAGUUGGCGGGGUAAAGGCCCACCAAGGCGACGAUCCGUAGCUGGUCUGAGAGGAUGAUCAGCCACACUGGAACUGAGACACGGUCCAGACUCCUACGGGAGGCAGCAGUGGGGAAUAUUGGACAAUGGGCGCAAGCCUGAUCCAGCCAUACCGCGUGGGUGAAGAAGGCCUUCGGGUUGUAAAGCCCUUUUGUUGGGAAAGAAAUCCAGCCGGCUAAUACCUGGUUGGGAUGACGGUACCCAAAGAAUAAGCACCGGCUAACUUCGUGCCAGCAGCCGCGGUAAUACGAAGGGUGCAAGCGUUACUCGGAAUUACUGGGCGUAAAGCGUGCGUAGGUGGUUAUUUAAGUCCGUUGUGAAAGCCCUGGGCUCAACCUGGGAACUGCAGUGGAUACUGGAUGACUAGAAUGUGGUAGAGGGUAGCGGAAUUCCUGGUGUAGCAGUGAAAUGCGUAGAGAUCAGGAGGAACAUCUAUGGCGAAGGCAGCUACCUGGACCAACAUUGACACUGAGGCACGAAAGCGUGGGGAGCAAACAGG
rnacentral:rRNA from 1 species